GAUGAACGCUGGCGGCGUGCCUAAUACAUGCAAGUCGAGCGAACAGAUGAUGAGCUUGCUCCUCUGACGUUAGCGGCGGACGGGUGAGUAACACGUGGAUAACCCACCUAUAAGACUGGGAUAACUUCGGGAAACCGGCGCUAAUACCGGAUAAUAUAUUGAACCGCAUGGUUCAAUAGUGAAAGACGGUUUUGCUGUCCCUUAUAGAUGGAUCCGCGCCGCAUUAGCUAGUUGGUAAGGUAACGGCUUACCAAGGGAACGAUGCGUAGCCGACCUGAGAGGGGGAUCGGCCACACUGGAACUGAGACACGGUCCAGAGUCCUACGGGAGGCAGCAGUAGGGAAUCUUACGCAAUGGGCGAAAGCCUGACGGAGCAACGCCGCGUGAGUGAUGAAGGUCUUCGGAUCGUAAAACUCUGUUAUGAGGGAAGAACAAAUGUGUAAGUAACUAUGCACGUCUUGACGGUACCUAAUCAGAAAGCCACGGCUAACUACGUG
rnacentral:rRNA from 1 species